rnacentral:lncRNA from 1 species
UAUUACUAGAGGCAGGAUUAAACCCCGGUGCCUUUCCAACGUGAUGAAACCGGUGGAAGAGGAAAACGCAUUCAUUCACUAGGGAAACAUUUACUCAUCCUCCGCUGCAGGUCGAACUGUAGACACAGAGAGCAACAGACAAAUCCCAGGCCCUCGUCGGGGAAGAAAGGGAUCAUGAAAUAAACAGAAAAAUAAAUGCGAAAUGCGGCCAGCGAUGAAAGCUCAGAAGGCGAGCUUACCCCGGACCCAAACGCGCAAUACUAACCGGGAGUGUAAGGAGGCCACGCCCUCCUCGCGUAUUUGUGCCCAAAUGAGCUGCCUCCCCAGCGUGCACCAAAUUCCUGAGCCACCUGCUCCGAGCUCGAUUUCCCUUUCAAGCUGUGUGUUCUGCGGGGGCAGGGAGAGCUGCAAGGGCUCAUCUUUCAGGACGUGCUGCAAAGGCCCUUUGAAGUCAUCCGCCCUGCUCUUGGCACCUUGCGCCUGGAGCUGAGCUCUUCCAAAAAUGACCCCUGCGCAUUCCGUGGUGCGGCCGCCCAGCCCAGGCAGUCGCGGUCCAGAGCAGGGGAAGCUGCAGCGCGGCCGACAGCUGGGAGAGCCGAGGCCCUGAGGGAGGACCCUGCCUCAAGCCAAGCAACCAGGCCCUGCGGCCCUCUCCCCACCCCUGUGCGGCCCUGGCGCAGGGAACCGGGACGGGGCUUUCAGGCCUUGAAGGGCAGACUUACUCCACCAAACAUUCCCAUCGUCGGCUGAUGGAGGGCCUCGAGCUGGGCGCUGUGGAUGCCCUUCUAGAGAGACCUGCCAGACUGAGCCGCUUCCGUCAGCCAGACAUGAGGAUAAGAGCGUUUAGUGUGGAGCUCGGACAUCCCCAAGGAGCCCACCGUCCACACAUUGACGGUCGCUGCUUUUAACAUAAAGUCCAGCUCCCCUAGUGAGGCACUGAAAGGCCCUGUCUGCCACCCCACCUCGCCUCCUGCCCAGCUCACACAGCCACCUGGAAGGACUUAAGAGUCCCUCCCAAAACAAUCUCUUCUCACCUGUACCUUCACUCUUCUUGCCUGCCUUCCUUGUGUGCUGUUUAAACUCCUAUUCACCCUUUAUGCCUUUAAUGCCACCUCCUCCCAGAAGCCUUCCCUGACCACUGCAGGAAGAGAGGCAGUUGCAUUCACUUCCCUGUCACUUUGGGCCUCUUUGACAGUUUGAUUACAAUAAAAUUACAGCUUAUGCAAGUUUAACGUGUGCUUCAGACAAAAGAAAAAAGAAAAAAUACAGAAAGAAAGACAAGAAGAGAGAAAGAAAUUAAGUAAGGACCAUGUGGCUCAAUGGGCACACACCCUAAGUGGUUAUGAGAUAGAGGCAGAAUCUGCUCUCUGAGGCUCAGUCCCCAUAGGCCCCUCAUCCUACAGCUACCUAAGGACAAGUCUUUAAAGAUAAGCUGGAAAAAAACCCAAAAAACUGGCAGUAUAGUGGGAAAGAAUGAGGGACUUGGCAGACCAGACUACUCCAAAUUCAGACUCCAGCUCCGCCACUUCCUGGCUGUACAACCCCGAGCAAGUUGCUAACUCCUCUGUGCCUGGGACUCCUCACCUGUAAAGUGGGCAUAAGAAAAGUACCAACCUCAUAAGGUUGUUGAGAGGAUAAAAUGAGCUUAACACCUGUGAAGUCCUCACAGUAGCUCCUAAUCCACACUGGCACUAGAUUAUAUUAUGGUCCAGUAUUACCCCAGCCAGUACCCUCUGUGGAAGGAAGAGGAACCUGCUCCUGGGCUGCAGGGAACCCCAACUGUGCUGGACUCACUAGGAGACUGAAUAUCAGUCCCCAACCUAGUGUCUCUGAGGAUUUGCCAGGGGUACUUUUCAUGACACUUGAUUUUUGCUUUCCAAGCUGACUCGACUGGGUAGCACCCUCAGAGAAAUCUAACCGUCAGAUAGACAGUCCUGGGUGAAAAUUCCCACCCACCAUUUCUAUAAUAGUUGUGUGACCUUAAGCGAGUCACAUUUUGUGUUAGCUCUGCUCGCUUCACCUGUCAAAUGGAGACGAUGAUACCUACCCCCAGGGCAUGAGGAGUUAACACCUGUGCUGAUGCCUGCUACCUGGUAGACACCUGAUACCAAGGCCGCUGUGAUUAAUUUACUCUUUCCACAGCAGCUGUUGUUACACUGUUUCAUUUUCAGUUUACAUGCUCUUCACCCCACAGCCUGGGAGCCCUCAAAGAUGGGGACUCGUUCCAAGUCAGCUCAGGCUCCCAUGGUCAAGUCUACACCAAAAACCAGGGAGG